rnacentral:rRNA from 1 species
CCUACGGAGGCAGCAGUGGGGAAUAUUGGACAAUGGGCGAAAGCCUGAUCCAGCCAUGCCGCGUGUGUGAAGAAGGCCUUCGGGUUGUAAAGCACUUUCAGUGGGGAAGAAAGCCUUGGGGCUAAUACCCUCGAGGAAGGACAUCACCCACAGAAGAAGCACCGGCUAACUCCGUGCCAGCAGCCGCGGUAAUACGGAGGGUGCGAGCGUUAAUCGGAAUUACUGGGCGUAAAGCGCGCGUAGGCGGUCUGAUAAGCCGGUUGUGAAAGCCCCGGGCUCAACCUGGGAACGGCAUCCGGAACUGUCAGGCUAGAGUGCAGGAGAGGAAGGUAGAAUUCCCGGUGUAGCGGUGAAAUGCGUAGAGAUCGGGAGGAAUACCAGUGGCGAAGGCGGCCUUCUGGACUGACACCGACGCUGAGGUGCGAAAGCGUGGGUAGCAAACAGGAUUAGAUACCCGAGUAGUC